GCCGAUGUAGCUCAGCUGGUAGAGCAACGGUUUCGUAAACCGUAGGUCGAGGGUUCGAAUCCCCUCAUCGGCU
rnacentral:tRNA from 1 species